rnacentral:lncRNA from 1 species
CACAGAAAAAAAAAAGAGAAAAGAAAAAAGAGCCUUACGAGGCAAAUCAUCACAGAAUCUGGAAAUACAAAGCCUGAGCGGUCUAAAGGUUUUCGGCAUAUGAAUCACAUCAACGGCGGGACUUCGCAACAGAAAUGAAGACGCAACAAAGCCACCGAGAACGAUCAAGGUCACCAAACCGACCGUCAUUUCCGAACUAACAAUUGUUCUUUGUCUGAAAAGUUGAAACAGGUGUAAUCCAAGACAACCGUGCAUGAAGCAGGUGUCGCCCAAAGAAGAAGGUACAUGGGUACAAGAAAUAUUUUGGCAAUAAGGAAUUCACUCGAAAGGUAAGUUUCCACGAAACUCCCUUUUAUAUUAUACUAAAACAAGAAAAUUCAAAAAAAAAGAGGUCAGUUGUUGUUCUCGAAUUUUGUCCCCAGCUAGUCAGCAUUAUGGUUUUAAACCCUAAACUGAAUUUUUUCCUUUCAGCCAGCAUUAAGGUUUUAAACCCUAAACUGAGCUUUUCCAUGCAAUCAGCAUUAGGGUUUUAAACCCUAAACUGAAUCUUUCCUUUAGCCAGCAUUAGGGUUUUAAACCCUAAACUGAGCUUUUCCAUGCAGCCAGCAUUAGGGUUUUAAACCCUAAACUGAGCUUUUCCAUGCAAUCAGCAUUAGGGUUUUAAACCCUAAACUGAGCUUUUCCAUUUAGUCAGCAUUAGGGUUUUAAACCCUAAACUGAACUUUUUUCAUUCAGCCAGCAUUAGGGUUUUAAACCCUAAACUGAACUUUACCAUUCAGUCAACAUUAGGGUUUUAAACCCUAACUGAACUUUUUCCUUUCAGUCAGCAUUAGGGUUUUAAACCGUAAACUGAAUUUUCCCUUUAGUCAGCAUUAGGUUUUUAAACCCUAAACUGAACUUUUUUCAUUCAGCCAGCAUUAGGGUUUUAAACCCUAAGCUGAACUCUUUCUUUUCAGCGAGCAUUAGGGUUUUAAACCCUAAACUGAGCUUUUCCAUGCAAUCAGCAUUAGGGUUUUAAACCCUAAACUGAAUUUUUCCUUUAGUCAGCAUUAGGGUUUUAAACCCUAAACUGAACUUUUUUCCAUUCAGCCAGCAUUAGGGUUUUAAACCCUAAACUGAGCCUUUCCAUGCAAUCAGCAUUAGGGUUUUAAACCCUAAACUGAAUUUUUCCUUUAGUCAACAUUAGGGUUUUAAACCCUAAACUAAACUUU